rnacentral:tRNA from 1 species
GGCCGUGUGGCUCAAUGGAUAGAGCAUCCGACUUCGGAUCGGAAAGUUGCAGGUUCGAGUCCUGUCACGGUCG